rnacentral:rRNA from 1 species
AGCGAACGCUGGCGGCAGGCUUAACACAUGCAAGUCGAACGCAUCCUUCGGGGUUAGUGGCAGACGGGUGAGUAACACGUGGGAACGUACCCUUCGAUCUGGGAUAACUUCGGGAAACUGGAGCUAAUACCGGAUACGCCCUUUUGGGGAAAGGUUUACUGUCGAAGGAUCGGCCCGCGUCUGAUCAGCUAGUUGGUGGGGUAACGGCCUACCAAGGCGACGAUCAGUAGCUGGUCUGAGAGGAUGAUCAGCCACACUGGGACUGAGACACGGCCCAGACUCCUACGGGAGGCAGCAGUGGGGAAUAUUGGACAAUGGGCGCAAGACUGAUCCAGCCAUGCCGCGUGAGUGAUGAAGGCCUUAGGGUUGUAAAGCUCUUUUGUCCGGGACGAUAAUGACGGUACCGGAAGAAUAAGCCCCGGCUAACUUCGUG